CCUACGGGUGGCAGCAGUGAGGAAUAUUGGUCAAUGGACGAGAGUCUGAACCAGCCAAGUAGCGUGAAGGAUGACUGCCCUAUGGGUUGUAAACUUCUUUUAUAUGGGAAUAAAAUGUUCCACGUGUGGGAUUUUGUAUGUACCUUAUGAAUAAGGAUCGGCUAACUCCGUGCCAGCAGCCGCGGUAAUACGGAGGAUCCGAGCGUUAUCCGGAUUGAUUGGGUUUAAAGGGAGCGUAGGUGGAUUGUUAAGUCAGUUGUGAAAGUUUGCGGCUCAACCGUAAAAUUGCAGUUGAUACUGGCAGUCUUGAGUACAGUAGAGGUGGGCGGAAUUCGUGGUGUAGCGGUGAAAUGCUUAGAGAUCACGAAGAACACCGAUUGCGAAGGCAGUUCACUGGACUGUGACUGACACUGAGGCUCGAAAGUGUGGGUAGCAAACAGGAUUAGAUACCCUAGUAGUC
rnacentral:rRNA from 1 species